rfam:Crassostrea gigas strain 05x7-T-G4-1.051#20 contig18192, whole genome shotgun sequence.
CCAACGGCAGUUUUAACGGCCACUAAAUUUUUAGAAAAUUUUCUU